rnacentral:rRNA from 1 species
AUUGAACGCUGGCGGCAGGCCUAACACAUGCAAGUCGAACGAGUGGCGGACGGGUGAGUAAUGUCUGGGAAACUGCCUGAUGGAGGGGGAUAACUACUGGAAACGGUAGCUAAUACCGCAUACCAUCAGAUGUGCCCAGAUGGGAUUAGCUUGUUGGUGGGGUAACGGCUCACCAAGGCGACGAUCCAUAGCUGGUCUGAGAGGAUGACCAGCCACACUGGAACUGGUACAGGGUCCAGACUCCUACGGGGGUCAGCAGUGGGGAAUAUUGACAAAUGGGCGAAAGCCGGAUGCAGCCAUGCCGGGUGUAUGAAGAGGGCCUUCGGGUUGUAAGGUACUUUCAGCGGGGAGACGUUACCCGCAGAAGAAGCACCGGCUAACUCCGUGCCAGCAGCCGCGUAAUAC